rnacentral:rRNA from 1 species
CACUUAGGGCGCAAGCGUUGUCCGGAAUUAUUGGGCGUAAAGAGCUCGUAGGCGGUCUGUUGCGUCCGCUGUGAAAACUCGGGGCUUAACCCCGAGCCUGCAGUGGAUACGGGCAGACUAGAGGUAGGUAGGGGAGAAUGGAAUUCCCGGUGUAGCGGUGAAAUGCGCAGAUAUCGGGAGGAACACCGGUGGCGAAGGCGGUUCUCUGGGCCGUACCUGACGCUGAGGAGCGAAAGCGUGGGGAGCGAACAGG